ACUCCUACGGGAGGCAGCAGUGGGGAAUUUUGGACAAUGGGCGAAAGCCUGAUCCAGCAAUGCCGCGUGAGUGAAGAAGGCCUUCGGGUUGUAAAGCUCUUUUGUCAGGGAAGAAACGGUGAAAGCUAAUAUCUUUUGCUAAUGACGGUACCUGAAGAAUAAGCACCGGCUAACUACGUGUCAGCAGCCGCGGUAAUACGUAGGGUGCAAGCGUUAAUCGGAAUUACUGGGCGUAAAGCGUGCGCAGGCGGUUUUGUAAGUCUGAUGUGAAAUCCCCGGGCUCAACCUGGGAAUUGCAUUGGAGACUGCAAGGCUAGAAUCUGGCAGAGGGGGGUAGAAUUCAACGUGUAGCAGUGAAAUGCGUAGAUAUGUGGAGGAACACCGAUGGCGAAGGCAGCCCCCUGGGUCAAGAUUGACGCUCAUGCACGAAAGCGUGGGGAGCAAACAGGAUUAGAAACCCCUGUAGUCCCAUGAU
rnacentral:rRNA from 1 species